rnacentral:rRNA from 1 species
CACCGCGGUUAUACGAGGGGCUCAAGUUGACAGACAGCGGCGUAAAGCGUGGUUAAGGAACCCCCUCCCCAAACUAAAGUCGAACGUCCUCAGAACUGUUAUACGUAUCCGAAGAUAAGAAGCCCCAUCACGAAAGUAACUUUAUCUCCCCUGACCCCACGAAAGCUGUGACA